CUACACAUGCAAGUCGAACGGCAGCACAGUCGUAGCAAUACGAUGGCGUGGCGAGUGGCGGACGGGUGAGGAAUACAUCGGGACCUGCCUAGACGUGGGGGAUAACGUAGGGAAACUUACGCUAAUACCGCAUACGUCCUACGGGAGAAAGCGGGGGAUCUUCGGACCUCGCGCGGUUAGACGGACCGAUGUUCGAUUAGCUAGUUGGUGGGGUAACGGCUUACCAAGGCGACGAUCGAUAGCUGGUCUGAGAGGAUGAUCAGCCACACUGGGACUGAGACACGGCCCAGACUCCUACGGGAGGCAGCAGUGGGGAAUAUUGGACAAUGGGCGCAAGCCUGAUCCAGCAAUGCCGCGUGUGUGAAGAAGGCCUUCGGGUUGUAAAGCACUUUUAUCAGGAGCGAAAUACCAUCGGCUAAUGCCCGGUGGGGCUGACGGUACCUGAGGAAUAAGCACCGGCUAACUUCGUGCCAGCAGCCGCGGUAAUACGAAGGGUGCAAGCGUUAAUCGGAAUUACUGGGCGUAAAGCGUGCGUAGGCGGUGAGUUAAGUCUGCUGUGAAAUCCCCGG
rnacentral:rRNA from 1 species